rnacentral:tRNA from 1 species
AGCCCUCUAAUUUAAAACAGAAUAGAUGAUUUGCAUUCAUCCAGUGGAAUACUUCCGAGUGCUA